GAUUGGGGGAAAAAUCGGCGUGGAGAAGAAAGGCCGGUGCCUCCUUCUCUCCCUUCUUCUCUCGGCGGAACUCAGCCGCCCCCGUCUCUUCCUCGCGACCUCUCCGGCGAUCGCCAUCCUCGGUGUCGCCGGAGCUCUCUCCUUCUUCCCUUAAUUUCCAAAACAAAUUCCUAAAUUAAAAACAGAGGCGGCGCCCCCUUUUUUUUUCUCCGGCGGAAAUCGCUGCCAUUCCGACGAAUCACCGCCUCUCCGCGUCGCCGGGUUACACCGGCUCCGCCUUCUCCCUCGAGUUCGCACCGCGUCUCCUUUCCUCCGGCGAAACCGCGCCCCGCCUGGCUCGCCGGGAUUUCGGAGUCCCGCCAGCGCCCGCCCUCGCGCCGUUCGCCACUUCGUUACGCGAGCGGCUCCCUUCUUCACCGCCGUUCUCCGUCAUUUGCCGCUGCCGCCGCCUUGCAGCGCAGCUUUCCGACGAGAGGGGGCGUGGGGAGGCGUCGCCUUCUCCUCCCUCUCUCAGCCGCGGCUUGCAGCUGCUCCGCAGAGGUCCUCGGACCCUGUCGACGCUCUUCCGUCGCCCGGCAGCCUUGCCUCUGCUGCCGCCGUGAUCCGCAGCUUCUCCGCGGAAGUUCUUCGGCUCCGUCGACACUCGCCGUCGCCCGGCAGCCCCUCCGCCUAAGCCAAGUUUCUUUGGUGUAGCUUGGCUAUCAAGGUGGUGUAGAAGUCGAGAGAGAGGAAGAGAUGAUCUUCCUCAAGAUCCUCAUGAUCCUCUUCUUGGAAAGAUCCAAAUGUUGGUUUGGGAGCCAUAGUCAUACUUUCCAUUUUCAUGUAAUUAGAGUCUCUAGAGGAGAGUUGUAAUAUAAGAGUGUAUUGUCACUUUCACUUAUGUAAGCACUAUGUGAAUAAAUGUAUCUCCAACAUUCUUGUACAACUUUUUCUUCAAUUAUUUAUCUAAUAAAAGCAUAGCUUUACUUUUA